UACGUAGGUGGCAAGCGUUGUCCGGAUUUACUGGGCGUAAAGCGCGCGCAGGCGGGCUGGUCAGUCUGGGGUGAAAUCUCACGGCUCAACCGUGAGAGGUCCCUGGAUACUGCUAGCCUUGAGGGGCUCAGAGGAGAGUGGAAUUCCGGGUGUAGUGGUGGAAUGCGUAGAUAUCCGGAGGAACACCAGUGGCGAAAGCGGCUCUCUGGGGGCAACCUGACGCUGAGGCGCGAAAGCUAGGGGAGCAAACAGG
rnacentral:rRNA from 1 species